UAACAAGCUUACAGGUCUAGUACCAGGAGGCACUCAGUUUCUAAGGCUCAACUGCACUUCCUUUGAGGAUAACAAGGGACUUUUUGGCCCUUCUCUUGAAGAAAUUUGCAGAGAUAUUCACACGCCAACACCGCAUGAAACGCCGGAAUCAGGGGAAGAAGAAGAAGAGGUGUUGAGUUGGAUAGCAGCUGUAAUAGGAUUCAUACCUGGUAUUGCCUUUGGAUGGGUGAUUGGAUAUAUACUUUUUUCCUACAAACCAGAGUGGUUCAUGAACCCUUUUGCCCGAAACAAGCGCAGAAUCAGCAGCACCACAACUCAUUAAAAAGCUACCUGAGGAAUCUGGAAGAAGAAAUCCAAAGGAACCACUAUGUCUAUCCGUAUCAAAUAAGAUUUGGGGUAUCGUUUCUAGUUUAGCUUGAUGUUUUCUCAUUAAUCUGUUUUUACUUUUUUAGCAAACUUCUUUGUUUCUCUGUAAUUGAACAACUAUGUUUCUUAAGCUGAAAAUUACAAGCACAGUCAGAGAUGUGUCGUCUUUUCCCCU